rnacentral:rRNA from 1 species
CGCCCGUCGCUCCUACCGAUUGGGUGUGCUGGUGAAGCGUUCGGACUGGCGGCUGUGCGCGGUUCGCCGCGCGCUGCAGCCGGGAAGUUCGUUAAACCCUCCCACCUAGAGGAAGGAGAAGUCGUAACAAGGUUUCC